rnacentral:rRNA from 1 species
GACGAACGCUGGCGGCGUGCUUAACACAUGCAAGUCGAACGGAAAGGCCCUGCUUUUGUGGGGUGCUCGAGUGGCGAACGGGUGAGUAACACGUGAGUAACCUGCCCUUGACUUUGGGAUAACUUCAGGAAACUGGGGCUAAUACCGGAUAGGAGCUCCUGCUGCAUGGUGGGGGUUGGAAAGUUUCGGCGGUUGGGGAUGGACUCGCGGCUUAUCAGCUUGUUGGUGGGGUAGUGGCUUACCAAGGCUUUGACGGGUAGCCGGCCUGGGAGGGUGACCGGCCACGUUGGGACUGGGAUGCGGCCCAGACUCCUACGGGAGGCAGCAGUGGAGAAUAUUGCACAAUGGGCGGAAGCCUGAUGCAGCAACGCCGCGUGCGGGAUGACGGCCUUCGGGUUGUAAACCGCUUUCGCCUGUGACGAAGCGUGAGUGACGGUAAUGGGUAAAGAAGCACCGGCUAACUACGUG